GACAUCUGGUGAUAGAGGAUGGCUUUGGGGCCUGGCUGUCUGCACAGAAAUGUUUGUUGGAUCUCUGAUAAGAGCGGCUGAUGGAAUGCUGUGGCUGAUACCAAGACACAGUCCUUAAGCGUACAGACCUUUGAGGAUAAAGAGCAGUUUAGUUAGGUAGGUUCAGAAAGGUAUUUCAAGAAAAAGAAACUGAGAAGCAAGGGAACUGAGCUCUCCCAGCAGAAAAAGAUCACUAUCACAAUCCUUAACUAACCCUGAGCAUGGAGAUGGUGAAGGGAACGAGACUUCAAUGGUCAGCGAGACUGGUGACCCUCCUGAUAAUACUAACCCAGGAAGAGAGUGGGAGCAGACAAAUGUCAACUCCAGCUUCUCAAGAGGGAGGUGAUGAGCCAGACCGUCCCGGGAAGCGCCACAAAACUAAACUAGCAGGAAAUAAUUCAGGCCCAGGAUUCAUUAGACAUUGCAGAUUUUACCAUCCCAAUUGAGCCUUUAGCACUAAAAUUCAAGAACUUAAUGAAGCGUAAAGACACAUACAUUGUUAGCAUUAGCAAUGCCAUGGAUAAAGUGAAAAGGAAACUGAAUGAAUUACUCACAGAGGAAGAUUAUUAGUUAUUUAUAGAAGGCACUCCUUUGGAAUUUAAGUUUUUGUUGUUAUCUUAGUUUGUAUUGACCAUUAGUUUGGUACUAUUGAUUUGCUUCUUGUGUAGCGUUAACAGGGAAAUAUCUAAGCUGUUAACUCAAGUGAUGGUUACAGAGUUAACCACUCACAGAGAGUACAAAGUCAUGGACAAAUUGAUUCAUGUAGAUGAAACAGUCAUAAUGUUAGUUUGAAUUGAAUUUAUAGUACAAGUAAUUUUCAGCUUUUGUAGUAUGUAUAGUAGAAACGAAUGAUGUUACUCAGCUCAAUGCAUGAUAAUACCCCAGAGGUUUAACAAACUGGAGACAACAAAUAUAGAAUGCUUACUGCCUAAUGGAUUAUAGUGAAUAGACUAGUUCAGUAAUAUCAGUAUGUUUAAGAAGCAUUUUAGAAACGUGAUCAGUAAAUUUCUCAGGGAAAGCAAUGGCAGGACCAAUUGGACACCUUAAAACAUACAUUACUCAGCAUUGUCUGAAGAUAGCUUAAGAUACGAGGCAGGUACAAGAGCAUGAAGAAAAGAUAAAUGAGGCAAGGGUACAGAAGAACGCAAAGGUAAAAGCAACACUUCUCUUGUUACAAUGGCCACUUUGACACUAGACGAGUGUAAGGAAAGAGUUAAACUGAAAAAGUUGUGUAUGAGAAAACCGGCUUCCAAGGAGAGCUCAGAGACCAGCAAUCUAUUGUUUCACUCCCCAACCUUGAAAAGACAUCUGGUCACCCAGAACAGCUUUGGGGCCAGUCUGGCUGCACAGAAAUGUUUUUUUAGUCUCCGAUAAGAACGGCUGAUGGAAUGGUGUGAGUGGGGAUAAAGAGAAGUUUAGUUAGAUUCAAGGAAGUUGCCUGAGAAAUAAAUUGAGAAGCAAAAGACCGCCUGAGCUCUCCCAGGGGAAAGACAGGACCUCAGUUUAACGUCUCAACCAAAGGAAGACACCCAAGC